rnacentral:rRNA from 1 species
GCGCGUAGGCGGUUAUUUAAGUCAGAUGUGAAAGCCCAGGGCUUAACCUUGGAACUGCAUUUGAAACUGGAUAACUUGAGUAUGGUAGAGGUAAGCGGAAUUUCCAGUGUAGCAGUGAAAUGCGUAGAGAUUGGAAGGAAUAUCGAUGGCGAAGGCAGCUUACUGGGCCAAUACUGACGCUGAGGUGCGAAAGCGUGGGUAGCGAACG